UACGUAGGGGGCAAGCGUUGUCCGGAUUUAUUGGGCGUAAAGAGCGUGUAGGCGGCCACACAGGUCUGCUGUGAAAACUCGAGGCUCAACCUCGAGACGUCGGUUGAAACCGUAUGGCUAGAGUCCGGAAGAGGAGAGUGGAAUUCCCGGUGUAGCGGUGAAAUGCGCAGAUAUCGGGGAAGAACACCCGUGGCGAAGGCGGCUCUCUGGGACGGUACUGACGCUGAGACGCGAAAGCGUGGGGAGCGAACAGG
rnacentral:rRNA from 1 species